AUGUUUUUACGCACCGCGUUUUUGCUCCCGACGCUUUUAUUUUUGACAACUUUGGAGUCAUCAGGAUGCUUUCAGACUGUGGUCCAGCCGAGCAAAGGCUCCACUGUGACGGUGUCCACCACGCUGCCUUUGGCUCAGUGUGCGGUGUGCACGGUCAGUGGGGACAACCUCACUUCCUGUCACUCCAUCCUGUCUCUGGUGCCUGAAGCGGAAGUUAAACUGCUCUUCAACUGCUCCCAGCCCCUGGAUCAGUCGUUCACAGUGACGGUUAAUCAUUCCAUCGAUUGCACACAGACUUCCUGCAAUCCUGCUGCUGCAGAGGUGGAUCCAAACUUCUUCAAGGACUUUAACAGAACCCUAACUUGGGAUGUCAGCGUCCCUGAGAGGACAGUUUUAAAUGUGAGCUUUCCUGUUGGUGGAGUUAAGGAGAUCAGUCAAGGAGAAACGUGCCGAGAUGGUUACCAGUACACAGUCAGUUUAACUAAGAGGGAUGGAGAUGUUCAAACUAGCAGCUACUGCAAAGGUGGGUCUGUGACCCAAUUGGAUUAUUUGGGAGCCACGACUCUGAUGGUUGUAGCCCCGGGGGGAGCAGAACUGGACGGAAACGUUUUCAGCGUUACUACAAGACCAAGAGGUAGUAGAAUAAUGCCGGUGCAGCUCGACCAGGACGUCGUCGUCACCAUUCAUAGAAACGCUGCAGAGCCGGAGUGCAGUGUGUGCGUGGGCAAGGCCCCCGAACAGACCUGUGACCCCCAGUACCAGAGGCUGACCUACAGCCCCGACAUGUCUGUGGAGUUUACAUGUCCCAACCCGCAGGAAAUCUUCAAAAUGGACAUAAACAGAGAAAUAGGUGAGGAUAUUUGACUGCUUUUUAUUUAAUUUCAAAAGGUUGGGGCUGCUCUGCUGGUUGCAAAAUAUCUUUUUUCAUUUUAGAUUUAAAUAGUAAAGAAAAACAAUGUUUUGAAUUGAUGAUAUUUUUAACUCAUGGAUGUUGAGAAAAGGCUACAGUGUUGUCCAUCAUACUUUAAAAACCGUAUCAGGAGACAAAUGAUUAAAGCUGAGAUCUGCGCUGUUUGGCCUGCAUGCGCUGCCCCUGCUGCCCACCCAUUACCCCCUUUUUGCCUUUAAUUCCAUAACAACCGUUUUAUAUUCUGGAUGCGUGGG
rnacentral:lncRNA from 1 species